rnacentral:rRNA from 1 species
UACACAUGCAAGUCGAACGAUGACGAAGAGCUUGCUCUUUUGAUUAGUGGCGCACGGGUGAGUAUACCAUAGAUAAUGUACCCCUUAGUUCGGGAUAGCCACUGGAAACGGUGAUUAAUACCGGAUACUCCUUCUCAUUAUGAGAUGAGUCGGGAAAGUUUUUUCGCUAAGGGAUCAGUCUAUGUCCUAUCAGCUAGUUGGUGAGGUAAUGGCUCACCAAGGCUAUGACGGGUAUCUGGUUUGAGAGGAUGAUCAGACACACUGGAACUGAGACACGGUCCAGACUCCUACGGGAGGCAGCAGUGAGGAAUAUUGCACAAUGGAGGAAACUCUGAUGCAGCAACGCCGCGUGGAGGAUGACGCAUUUCGGUGUGUAAACUCCUUUUAUUAGGGAAGAUAAUGACGGUACCUAAUGAAUAAGCACCGGCUAACUCCGUGCCAGCAGCCGCGGUAAUACGGAGGGUGCAAGCGUUACUCGGAAUCACUGGGCGUAAAGGGUGCGUAGGCUGGCUUCUAAGUCAGAUGUGAAAUCCAAUGGCUCAACCAUUGAACUGCAUUUGAAACUGGGAGCCUAGAGUUCAGAAGGGGCAGAUGGAAUUAGUGGUGUAGGGGUAAAAUCCGUAGAUAUCACUAGGAAUAUCAAAAGCGAAGGCGAUCUGCUGGGAUGAUACUGACGCUGAGGCACGAAAGCGUGGGGAGCAAACAGGAUUAGAUACCCU